GCUGUCUCGGCUCAGGGCGGGGAGGAGGCGCUUCUGCCUCCCCCCACUGGCUGCUGUCGCCUGGCGGGGGAGGCACUGCUGGCUGGGCCGGGCGGGGGCGUAGCGGCGACCGCCUCCCCCCACUCUCCCAAGGAGGUGCGGGCACCGCGGUCCCUCCCAGUCCCUGGGAGCCUCUCUGCCGUCCCCCUUGGGCCUCUCAAGGAAGCUUCUCUGGCCGCUAUGGAUAUUGGUUUUUGUUGGACUUGGAAUUGGGAAUUGAGGGCGACUGGGGGACGCCGGGACAGAGGGCGAAGCAGCAAAGCCCAGCUGCUUUGGCAGCCCGGCAGCGUUCUUCUCAGGGUGGAAGCCGAGGGAUGGCAUCUUCCUUUCACCAUUUGGAAGAAAUUUUGGAAUGAACAAUAUACCUUUUCUCCCUCUGAAAUACUGCUUCCUGAGCUUUAAGGAGGCAUAGCCAGAUCUUGCUGAUUUCCUGACGCUGACCACACGGGAUGCAGGCUGGUCCUCACCCUAAGAAGAGAGAGCCUCCCCAACCCCAAGAAGGAAGGGAAAGAGGAUGGCUCUCUGGGUCCCUGUGAGAUGGGAAUGUUCCCACUUUCUCUCUGGAUUCUCUGCAAAAGACAGCAAGAUACCCCAGGGGAUAUUGGUGGAAAAGAUGAAUGCAUAGGAAUCAAGCUGAAGGAAGAGAAAGAAGGAAAGAAAAGAAACCAGUGAAGCACAGAUGUGCAGACCAGAGGAGGAAUUGUCCUAACUAUUGUUCCUAUGACAAUUGAAAAUAAAUGUAGUUUUUACUCUGCGUGGC
rnacentral:lncRNA from 1 species